rnacentral:lncRNA from 1 species
AGCUCCAUCUAUGUUAUAUUUCAAAGUGCCAGAGUCUGGAGGACGCCACAGAUGCGCGGGAUUGAGGUGCGGAAUCCUGGAUCUCGAUCCAGCAACAGCAAGGGAAAGGAGUGAUCGGGUCUGAGUGAUGGCCAUGUCAACUACCCGUCGUGGAUCUGGUGUCUAGUUGCGGAAGACUGCAUCAUUGCGCAUUCUCCAAAUCUGCCAUAGUGUAUUGGCAGUGAGCUCGAGACCGGGUAGGUUCUUUGGUGUCGCUGCUAUGGCUGAGAUCCAUUGAUCAAUUCGUUGGUUGCUCCAAGGGGGUAGUGUGCUAUUAAUAUGUUGGUGUGUCCAGACAGCUCGAGUCCACUCACAUUGGAGGAACAGAUGUUCGAUGGUCUCUUGGUUCUGUUGUUUACACAGCAUGCAUCAAGGGUCAGAGGCGAUGUGUCGAUUAAAGAGGUUGGCCCUUGUCGCAAUUGCAUUCUGACACACAGCCCAGGUAAAUACUCUUAUUUUUGGCGCAGUUUGCAUC